GAGUUUGAUCAUGGCUCAGAUUGAACGCUGGCGGCAUGCCUUACACAUGCAAGUCGAACGGCAGCAUGAUCUAGCUUGCUAGAUUGAUGGCGAGUGGCGAACGGGUGAGUAAUACAUCGGAACGUGCCCUGUAGUGGGGGAUAACUAGUCGAAAGAUUAGCUAAUACCGCGUACGACCUGAGGGUGAAAGUGGGGGACCGCAAGGCCUCAUGCUAUAGGAGCGGCCGAUGUCUGAUUAGCUAGUUGGUGGGGUAAAGGCCCACCAAGGCGACGAUCAGUAGCUGGUCUGAGAGGACGAUCAGCCACACUGGGACUGAGACACGGCCCAGACUCCUACGGGAGGCAGCAGUGGGGAAUUUUGGACAAUGGGCGAAAGCCUGAUCCAGCAAUGCCGCGUGUGUGAAGAAGGCCUCGGUGUAA
rnacentral:rRNA from 1 species